rnacentral:lncRNA from 1 species
UGGUUGAAAGAUCCUUAAAGCUUGGUGCCCUAAACCUUAAUUGGUUGGGAGUCAUCGAUGGACCCCCAUUACAUGGACAAGUCAGAAAGAGUAUCCCAUAAAGCACCUUAAAAAAAAAAAAAAUUGUGUUCUUUUUUUAUUGAUUUUGCUCAGUUUGCUAAGUGUUGAAAAGAGAUAGGUUGGGGGGAGAGAUUAGUUUAGCAUAUUAUUCUCGGAACCUAAGGAACCAAUACACAUAGAUUUU